AGUCCGAGCGAACAGAUAAGGAGCUUGCUCCCUUUGACGUUAGCGGCGGACGGGUGAGUAACACGUGGGUAACCUACCUAUAAGACUGGGAUAACUUCGGGAAACCGGAGCUAAUACCGGAUAAUAUUUCGAACCGCAUGGUUCGAUAGUGAAAGAUGGUUUUGCUGUCACUUAUAGAUGGACCCGCGCCGUAUUAGCUAGUUGGUAAGGUAACGGCUUACCAAGGCGACGAUACGUAGCCGACCUGAGAGGGUGAUCGGCCACACUGGAACUGAGACACGGUCCAGACUCCUACGGGAGGCAGCAGUAGGGAAUCUUCCGCAAUGGGCGAAAGCCUGACGGAGCAACGCCGCGUGAGUGAUGAAGGUCUUCGGAUCGUAAAACUCUGUUAUUAGGGAAGAACAUACGUGUAAGUAACUGUGCACGUCUUGACGGUACCUAAUCAGAAAGCCACGGCUAACUACGUGCCAGCAGCCGCGGUAAUACGUAGGUGGCAAGCGUUAUCCGGAAUUAUUGGGCGUAAAGCGCGCGUAGGCGGUUUUUUAAGUCUGAUGUGAAAGCCCACGGCUCAACCGUGGAGGGUCAUUGGAAACUGGAAAACUUGAGUGCAGAAGAGGAAAGUGGAAUUCCAUGUGUAGCGGUGAAAUGCGCAAAGAUA
rnacentral:rRNA from 2 species